rnacentral:rRNA from 1 species
GCCUUGGCUUCAUCAGGCGACGAAGGACGCAGCAAGCUGCGAUAAGCUUCGGGGAGCGGCACGCACGCUUUGAUCCGAAGAUUUCCGAAUGGGGAAACCCGGCACCGGUCAUUCGGUGUCAUUCCGGUCUGAAUUCAUAGGACCGGUAAAGCGACACGCGGAGAAGUGAAACAUCUCAGUAUCCGCAGGAAAAUAACGAGAAUCGAUUCCGUAAGUAGUGGCGAGCGAAAGCGGAACAGCCCAAACCGUCGGGAUUUAUCCUGGCGGGGUUGUAGGACCACAAUGUGGGAUGCGACGAUUAGACGAACACUCUGGAAAGUGUGACCAUAGCGGGUGACAGUCCCGUAGUUUAAAAUCUUAGCAAACCUAGUGGUAUCCUGAGUAGCACCGUACACGUGAAAUCCGGUGUGAAUCCAUGCCGACCACGGCAUAAGGCUAAAUACUCGAUGAAGACCGACAGUGAACUAGUACCGCGAGG